rnacentral:rRNA from 1 species
UACAGAGGGUGCGAGCGUUGUCCGGAAUUAUUGGGCGUAAAGAGCUUGUAGGCGGUCUGUCGCGUCUGCUGUGAAAAUCCGGGGCUCAACCCCGGACUUGCAGUGGGUACGGGCAGACUAGAGUGUAGUAGGGGAGACUGGAAUUCCUGGUGUAGCGGUGAAAUGCGCAGAUAUCAGGAGGAACACCGAUGGCGAAGGCAGGUCUCUGGGCCAUAACUGACGCUGAGAAGCGAAAGCAUGGGGAGCGAACAGG